rnacentral:tRNA from 1 species
ACCUGGGUGGCUUAGUUGGUUAAGCAUCUGACUUCAGCUCAGGUCAUGAUCUCACGGUUCAUGGGUUCAAGCCCCACGUCAGGCU